CCUACGGGAGGCAGCAGUGGGGAAUUUUGGACAAUGGGGGCAACCCUGAUCCAGCAAUGCCGCGUGAGUGAAGAAGGCCUUCGGGUUGUAAAGCUCUUUUGUCAGGGAAGAAACAGCAGCUCUAACACAGCUGUGAAUGACGGUACCUGAAGAAUAAGCACCGGCUAACUACGUGCCAGCAGCCGCGGUAAUACGUAGGGUGCAAGCGUUAAUCGGAAUUACUGGGCGUAAAGCGUGCGCAGGCGGUUAUAUAAGACAGGUGUGAAAUCCCCGGGCUUAACCUGGGAAUUGCAUCUGUGACUGUAUAGCUAGAGUGUGUCAGAGGGGGGUAGAAUUCCACGUGUAGCAGUGAAAUGCGUAGAUAUGUGGAGGAAUACCAAUGGCGAAGGCAGCCCCCUGGGAUAACACUGACGCUCAUGCACGAAAGCGUGGGGAGCAAACAGGAUUAGAUACCCUGGUAGUCCACGCCCUAAACGAUGCUGACUAGUUGUUCGGGAUUUUAUCCUGAGUAACGUAGCUAACGCGUGAAGUCAGCGCGNGGNGGUACGUCGCGAGAGUAAACGUACGAAGAAGUAGAGCGNGAGAGAGACGACGGACGACGACGAGGGGAGGAGG
rnacentral:rRNA from 1 species